UCGAGGAUCUUGGACAAUGCGCGAAAGCGUGAUCCAGCGACGUCGCGUGCAGGAUGAAGGCCUUCGGGUUGUAAACUGCUGUCGUGAGGGAACAAUUGGCGGGAGGCUAACACCGUCUCGUCUUGAUAGUACCUCAGGAGGAAGACACGGCUAACUCUGUGCCAGCAGCCGCGGUAAUACAGAGGUGUCGAGCGUUGUUCGGAUUUACGGGGCGUAAAGGGUGCGUAGGCGGCUUUGUGUGUCGGACGUGAAAUCCCACUGCUUAACGGUGGAGCUGCAUCCGAAACUACAGGGCUUGAGUGCCGGAGGGGGAGAUGGAAUUCUCGGUGUAGCAGUGAAAUGCGUAGAUAUCGAGAGGAACACCAGUGGCGAAGGCGAUCUCCUGGACGGCAACUGACGCUGAGGCACGAAGGCUGGGGGAGCAAACA
rnacentral:rRNA from 1 species